CCUCGGAGCGAUAAAUCUGCCGCCAGCAUCGAUAUAGCCGGAGCUUGACGCUGAAUCCGCAACUAUAAACGGGCCAACCAUUGAACGUCGUUAUCCUACUCGGACAUUUUUUGCCGUGUGUAACGCAUCAUCGAACCCGCGAGCAAAACUGGGACUUGGACAUUGGGCGGACAGAACGCGAUAACUUGUUAAGGAUCCGCUACCAGGAUGUGGUGCCAAGACAACAAGGCUUCGAUACGAGACUCGUAGCAAAGUAAGGUCGAGGGCUCGGGAGCUCGAUCUCUCGAACCCGAGCUCUCGAGGGUGUACGAUGUCGAGGCCGAGGGGACCACGCGGGGUAUUAGCAUAUUAAUUUCGCUGAGACUGCGACGCGCAGAUAAAGCAUCUUAGGAAGGCGAACUUCGGUGAUGAAUCAAGCUCAUAGCCGCGGACUUCAACGGCACCGGUGCACCAUCGGUUAUCUCCUGCUUCUUCGCCGGCCCGGCUGCUACUCAUCUUUUCGACGACGCUCCCGAAAUUUACAUAACUCCGCAAAUUCUUCACUGAAUUCGUCCUCUCGCCAUACCAUCGAAUAUACGAAUUAAUUCAUUACUUAAUUGAUCAUAAAUUUUCCACAAAAAAUCUAAUUUAGUUUAAAAUUAAAACAUCAGUA